rnacentral:rRNA from 1 species
UACGGAGGAUGCGAUCGUUGUCCGGAUUUAUUAGGCGUAAAGCGAGCGCAGGUGGUUUAUUAAGUCUGGUGUAAAAGGCAGUGGCUCAACCAUUGUAUGCAUUGGAAACUGGUAGACUUGAGUGCAGGAGAGGAGAGUGGAAUUCCAUGUGUAGCGGUGAAAUGCGUAGAUAUAUGGAGGAACACCGGUGGCGAAAGCGGCUCUCUGGCCUGUAACUGACACUGAGGCUCGAAAGCGUGGGGAGCAAACAGG